CCUACGGGAGGCAGCAGUGGGGGAAUCUUGCGCAAUGGGCGAAAGCCUGACGCAGCCAUGCCGCGUGAAUGAUGAAGGUCUUAGGAUUGUAAAAUUCUUUUCACCGGGGACGAUAAUGACGGUACCCGGAGAAGAAGCCCCGGCUAACUUCGUGCCAGCAGCCGCGGUAAUACGAAGGGGGGCUAGCGUUGCUCGGGAAUUACUGGGCGUAAAGGGAGCGUAGGCGGAUAGUUUAGUCAGAGGUGAAAGCCCAGGGCUCAACCUUGGAAUUGCCUUUGAUACUGGCUAUCUUGAGUAUGGGAGAGGUUAGCGGAACUCCGAGUGUAGAGGUGAAAUUCGUAGAUAUUCGGAAGAACACCAGUGGCGAAGGCGGCUAACUGGCCCAUUACUGACGCUGAGGCUCGAAAGCGUGGGGAGCAAACAGGAUUAGAUACCCUGGUAGUCCACGCCGUAAACGAUGAGUGCUAGUUGUCGGCAUGCAUGCAUGUCGGUGACGCAGACGUACGACAUAAGACACUCCGUCGUGGGAGGUACGGUCGGCGAAGAACGUUAAACUAACAAACUAGAAGUUAGUACGGACGUGAGACGUACGACCGACGGACGACGACGAGGGAGGUUAGG
rnacentral:rRNA from 1 species